rnacentral:rRNA from 1 species
GACGAACGCUGGCGGCGUGCUUAACACAUGCAAGUCGAACGGUAAGGCUCCAGCUUGCUGGGGUACACGAGUGGCGAACGGGUGAGUAACACGUGGGUGACCUGCCCUGCACUUCGGGAUAAGCCUGGGAAACUGGGUCUAAUACCGGAUAGGACCAUGGUGUGGAUACUGUGGUGGAAAGCUUUUUCGGUGUGGGAUGGGCCCGCGGCCUAUCAGCUUGUUGGUGGGGUAAUGGCCUACCAAGGCGGCGACGGGUAGCCGGCCUGAGAGGGUGGACAGCCACAAUGGGACUGAGGCACGGCCCAGACUCCUACGGGAGGCAGCAGUGGGGAAUAUUGCACAAUGGGCGGAAGCCUGAUGCAGCGACGCCGCGUGGGGGAUGACGGCCUUCGGGUUGUAAACUGCUUUCGCCAUCGACGAAGGGUUUCUGACGGUAGAUGGAGAAGAAGCACCGGCUAACUACGUG